AAUGAAACACCGGUUCCCGUACGAUCACCGAAGUUAAGCAACGCCGAUCCCAGUCAGUACUUAGAUGCGUGAGCCCUUGACAAUACUAAGUGUUGUAAG